rnacentral:lncRNA from 1 species
UACUUAAAGUGGGAGGGGGGCCGCUAUCAGCCAGCAUAGUAUGUCCACUUAGGCGACCUGAGAGGCGGCGGGUGCGCGAGUGUAUAAUUAAAGAACUCUUAUUAUGUCCGGUGACAGUGGCCCCUUUUCACUUUUAGUAUGUUUCACCGCAGUACAUUGCUUAGGCUUCACCGCGAAAUAUUAGUGUAUUGCGAGAAAGAUAAUCGUAAAAAGCCGAAUUAUGCAACGUUUCUUUUGUACCUUGCUACACCGCAAUACAGGGGUGUAAAUAAGCAUCAUGCAGUAAAGCAUACUGAGAGUGGAAAGGGCACAUAGGUUUACACUGUGCUCAUUAUUUUCAAUUGUGACAUAAUUUGCAAGUGCAUCUGUGCUCGUGGUAAGCUUCAUUGACAAUUCUUUGUACAUUACAAAUUCAUAUUGCAGGGAAGCUUACUAAAGCACAUUCGCCAUUA